CCAUUCAUUGUGAAGGGGCGGGCCCAACUAUUUUAGCGUUGUGAUUGUGAUCCAGCCAAGCCAAAUAUAGUCGUAGACAGGUAUUUUUAGCCGUAAAGCGCGUCCCCGUGUUCAUUCGGCAAAGGCGACCUGGGCCAUACAGUCACAGAAAUGAGCCACUGCUCCAAUAUCAGCACACUCAGUGUUAACCUGUUAUUCAGUGGGGGAUAGUUUUACAGUCAGCUGUUAUUGCCGUCAUACCCAGAGAGAAACAACUGUAGGAGCUGUGGAGAGUAAGUCUCACUGCCACAGGUUCUCUCUCGAUCCGGGGACAAGGUUGAAAAAGCUGGGGAUGAAAAGACCGUAGACCCGAAGAUAAAUAACCUUCGGUUCAUCAAGCAGACACAUACAACAGCUGCCUCGGCUGUGACCUCACCAUGGUGACGUGUAAUCCAGAUUAACCUGCUCUCUUAUUCCGCCAGACAUGGAAGUGAUUAGAGAUUAUGACUGUGUCCUUUUAAUAGAAUUGGACGUGUGGGUAAUCAACUGCGUCCACCAGCGUCGCGUGUCAGAGACGUCAUGCUCGUGUUGCUGAUGGAAUCUCCUGUUUGGUGUUUCCUGUUGCCAGGAAAAAGCCUGUCAUCGGGUCACAACAGUGACCGGACAACUGCCUUAGAGAGUGACGUCACAUGCACGUCUUACUUCAGCAGCUUUACUAUACACGCCGGGGACACGGUAAGCUGGGGAAGCCCUCACACACACACGCACACACAUAUAGCCACGCUCACUAAUCCAAUUAGGACAUUAGUUGAUAACAGCCUGGCCCGGGCCUCAUCGGACACACACUGAGCCAAUUAUUACUGGAUGGAUAGGCCGGGCAAUCCCGGUGUUUCCCAGCUCUAAGGUGCUGAAGUGGUCCACAUCAGGCGGACACUUCAUACGCACCAAGGAUCCCCUUGCUAUUUCUGUGGACAUACACGCUGCCUGCCCAGUGAGUCAACAAAGACAAGGAAGAAGCCAAGAAGUGACUUCCACUCAGUCAGCAGAGUUGCAGAGGGUGAACUGAAAACCCAGAGCUUAGCCAGGGUAAGAGACUUUCCCCUACGCACUCGGCUCUGUCUACACAAAACUCCUAAUCACAUGCCAGGAAUAGUCACGGACAUAUACACUCUGGAAAUUAUUAACAGGAAUGCAGAACAAUCAACAGAUGGAAGACUUUGGGAUGCUGCUUUCACCCACUAAACAUGCACUCAUUUUCCAUGUGCUAGAAAACCAUUGAUACCAUUUGUAGUGAGUGUGUGUGUGAGUGUGGAUAUGUGUAUUUUCUAAGAGCCUCUUCGUUAAACAACACACCAGAAUGAGGCGCACUCCAAACAAGGCCACAAGUCCAUACAGAGGCUCUUAACUAACACUCACUGUGUAGUGAGGCUCUGCAGAGCUGUUAUAUUCUCUUUUAUUCUCUUCUACACACACACAAACACACCCUGCGUACCAUAUUACGGCUGGCUUGGUUAGGGUGAUCGAGUACAAUGGCCUGUCACCCAGUUACAUGCAUACGCCACGUAAACAGACAAACAGCAAACACAUGCUGCAGGCAGGAAAAAGAUGUCACUAGUGCAUUUUGGUGGAAGAAAGCUCAUAAAAUGGUGACGGAGCAAAAGAGAAUUAGUUGUGUCUGUCAUGUGUCGUGUCAGGCCCUCCCUAAUGCUAAUGUACCAUUCAUCUGUGUCAUAGAACGUUAAUGACUCUCAGCACAGAGAGCCUCGCUGAAGCACUCAGAGAGUAAAGCUUUGCUGUCCACUCAGUCAGCUUGUCUGUACGCUCCCCUGUUUCUUUUGAUCUGUCUCUACACCUCCCUGUUUCUGUCUGUCUGUCUGUCUGUCUGUCUGUGUCUGUUUCUACACUACCCUGUCUAUCUGUUGUGUUUGUCUGUCUGCCUCUCUGUCUCCAUGCUCUCCUCUUUUUGUCUAUUUCCCUGAUUUUGUUUCCCCGUGUCUCUUCUGUCUGUCUUUGUCUCCAUUGCUCAGUUUCUAUCUGCUUGCUAUCUCUCUUCUACAAGCCAAAUUUAU